rfam:Homo sapiens chromosome X, GRCh38 reference primary assembly.
GCCGGGCGCGGUGGCUCACGCCUGUCAUCCCAGCACUUUGGGAGGCCGAGGCGGGUGGAUCACCUGAGGCCAGGAGUUCGAGACCAGCCUGGCCAACAUGGUGAAACCCCGUCUCUA